rnacentral:tRNA from 1 species
GCGCCCGUAGCUCAGCUGGAUAGAGCGCCGGACUUCGAAUCCGUAGGCCGGGGGUUCGAGUCCCUCCGGGCGCG